rnacentral:antisense_RNA from 1 species
GUUUGUUUGUUUGUGACAGAGCCUUGCUCUGUCGCCCAGGCUGGAGUGCAACUCCAUCUCAAAAAAGUAUCACAUAGAGAUGAGUUGUAUGUACUCGUUCACAUUGUGAAAUAUUAAUAUGUCAAUAUGAGUGAUGGUUAAAAAAAGGUAAUAAAACACUUUUAGGGUAAACAGCACUAUAUCUAGAACCACAAGACCAAGGGCACAGUCUAACUCAUGACAUCAAUGGACUCAUUCAAUUUGAGCCAUGGUUUCAGCCAGUGUAAAUGAAAGUAUACCUACUCCUGCAUCUCAGCCAUUCUUACCUGGGCAAAGGUUUUAUAUCAGUGUAACCAAAACGG